rnacentral:rRNA from 1 species
CCUACGGGUGGCAGCAGGGAGGAAUAUUGGUCAAUGGACGGAAGUCUGAACCAGCCAGGCCGCGUGCAGGAAGACGGCGCGAUGAGUUGUAAACUGCUUUUGUACAAGGGGAAACCUGAAUACGUGUAUGCAGCUGAAAGUACUGUACGAAUAAGGAUCGGCUAACUCCGUGCCAGCAGCCGCGGUAAUACGGAGGAUCCAAGCGUUAUCCGGAUUUAUUGGGUUUAAAGGGUGCGUAGGCGGAUUGCUAAGUUAGAGGUGAAAUGUCCGAGCUUAACUCGGGAACUGCCUCUAAUACUGUUGCUCUCGAGCGUAGGUGCGGUAGGCUGAAUGUAUGUUGUAGCGGUGACAUGCUUAGCGCUCAUACAGAACACCGAUUGCGCAGGCAGCUUACCACUCUCUAUCUGACGUUGAGGCACGAAAGCGUGGGGAGCCAACAGGAUUAGCUACCCUGGUAGUC